GGGGUUGACUGGAUUUGACGGCGAGAUGAAAUGGUACGUAAGCACGCGGAGCCUCGAUUAUUCGCUCCUAAAUCAGAGUAGUCAAAAAAUUAAUUGGCGAAAACAAUUACGCUCUCGCUGCCUAAUCGAAGUAUAGUAGAUUACUGGCUUUAUCGCGUUACAAGGUGAUGCGACGAGACAUCGCUCCAAGGAUGUUGUUCCGAAUCUAAGGGUUUAGCGGUGCAGGUAAAUCGGAAAUAGCGCUUGAAUGCCUCGUUUCAUGCGUGAAACUUUAGAGGAUAAGGUCAUAGUUGGUGGUCCGGGUCUUGCUAUGGCACGAAAAAGAAGGCCGGAAUAAACGUGUAGAAAGCGUAUGGUUUCCUUGUGCGGACGUGGGUUCGAAUCCCACCAGCUCCACUU
rfam:Prevotella salivae DSM 15606 genomic scaffold SCAFFOLD1, whole genome shotgun sequence.